rnacentral:misc_RNA from 1 species
AUUUUUGGAUAAGAUCAUCAACAGCCACAAUCAAGAAAGAAAAAGUGAAAAGGGGAAUCCAAUUGAGAUGUACGUUUAAUUAAUUAGCUAAAUAAGAAUCUUAUUAAUUAUAUUCUUGAUAUUGUGUUAUCUAUCCAACCAUAAUUACAAUUACAAAAACCCCAAAUAGAAAUUCAUUUAAAGACCACACGAUUAAACAAUAUUUACAGAGAUAGAUUAUUUCAUUUUCUCUCAAUCUUCCUACAUAGAAUAUUCUACUA